CAGCCAUGUCUGUCUUACAUGACAGAGAGAGGGCAUGACUCUUUGUUAGACAGCUAGCCAUGACUGCACACUGAACUUCUAGGCUUCUUUUUUUUUUUUUUUGAGAUGGAGUCUCACUCUGUCGUCCAGACUGGAGUGCAGUGGUGUGAUCUUGGCUCACUGCAAGCUCUGCCUCCUGGGUUCACACCAUUGUUCUGCCUCAACCUCCAAUCUUGGUUGUUCCCAGCUUCUUUUUAUGACCCUUGUUGAAAACCUGGGGCCUUUCCAACAUAACCUAGACAAUUUCUAUGCUACCAAAUAAAAAAAUUUAAAUAAUAAUAAUAAUAAGCCCAUAGCAAAGUAUUUUAUCCACACUGUAUAGAUACAUUACAAAAACACCUUUAUUCCUCUAAACUGAAAAGAAAAAUGUUUAUAAAGGGACUAAAGAUUAAAAAUUAUAGGGAAUCAUUUACAAGAAAAUAAUUUUCUUUUUGAUUCAAUAAUAUAUCAAAAGUCUCCUGAGGGUAUACAUACCAUCCAUUAAUGAUUUUUCUUGUCUCACAAUGGAGUCCAAAGAAUAAAAAUAUCUCCUUUGAAGG
rnacentral:lncRNA from 1 species